CUGUCCCUCUGUCGUCUGGCUUACUUUCUCCUUUCCAAAUUGCUAACAAAUGACCAUAUUUUGGACCAGAAGAAGCAGAAGCUUGAGAUGAAAACUGGCUUCUGCUCUGUGGGAAAAGGGAGGCCACCCGGCACAUCCUUCUAUGCUGUCACCUGGCAAGGCCUUCCUCACAUAUCAUGUCUGUUAAAUGAUGCUUGCUUCAACCCUUCUCAAAUGCACUUAAAAUUGCCUAUCUAUGGAGAUCUGUGCUGUUAACAUUUUUUUUUUUUUUUUUUAAUUCCUGCUCAAUGACUGAUAGAAUACAACGGAACAGCAAUUCUUAGCCCACAGAGCUCAAGAGUCACUUAAUCAGUAAGGGGUGCACUGGCAGUGCUAUGGACUGAGAUUCCUUUAAAAUAGCUAAGCCACAACCCAGACCAACUGCUGAGUGACAAGACUGAUGCAUAAACCCAGGAGAACAAAUCCUGCUAUUCUUGCUCUCAAAUGUGUGCUUUUCAAAGUUAUUAAUCCUAUAUGUGUUGGCAAUAAACUUUUAAUGAUCUUC